AGAGAGAGAGAGAGAGAAAGAGCAUGCACAAAUGAAGGGAGAGAUUUACAAGGAGAAGAGUGGCAUUUCAUUUGAUCGAAUUUGUUCAGAGAACAAUGAAUUCUGUAAAAAUAAAUAAUUAAGAGUUUCAAAUGAAUAACUUACUUGUUUUCAAACAUGACAAGACACGAAAGAUAAAUAAAUUCCAUAAAAUUUUAUAUUCCAAACAUGAAAAGU
rnacentral:misc_RNA from 1 species